AUUGAACGCUGGCGGCAUGCUUUACACAUGCAAGUCGAACGGUAACAGGCCGCAAGGUGCUGACGAGUGGCGAACGGGUGAGUAAUGCAUCGGAACGCGCCCAGUCGUGGGGGAUAACGCAGCGAAAGCUGUGCUAAUACCGCAUACGAUCUAUGGAUGAAAGCGGGGGACCGUAAGGCCUCGCGCGAUUGGAGCGGCCGAUGUCAGAUUAGGUAGUUGGUGGGGUAAAGGCUCACCAAGCCAACGAUCUGUAGCUGGUCUGAGAGGACGACCAGCCACACUGGGGCUGAGACACGGCCCAGACUCCUACGGGAGGCAGCAGUGGGGAAUUUUGGACAAUGGGCGCAAGCCUGAUCCAGCAAUGCCGCGUGCAGGAAGAAGGCCUUCGGGUUGUAAACUGCUUUUGUACGGAACGAAACGGUCUGGGUUAAUACCCUGGGCUAAUGACGGUACCGUAAGAAUAAGCACCGGCUAACUACGUGCCAGCAGCCGCAGUAAGAC
rnacentral:rRNA from 1 species